UUUUGCACGCACUGUUACUGA
rnacentral:piRNA from 1 species